UUUUCCUACGGGACGCAGCAGUGGGGAAUAUUGCACAAUGGGGGGAACCCUGAUGCAGCGACGCCGCGUGGGCGAUGGAGUAUUUCGGUAUGUAAAGCCCUAUCGGCAGGGAAGAAGCUGACAGUACCUGACUAAGAAGCCCCGGCUAACUACGUGCCAGCAGCCGCGGUAAUACGUAGGGGGCAAGCGUUAUCCGGAUUCACUGGGCGUAAAGGGAGCGCAGGCGGCACGGCAAGCCUGGUGUGAAAACCCGGGGCCCAACCCUGGGACUGCAUUGGAAACUGUUUAACUGGAGUGUCGGAGAG
rnacentral:rRNA from 1 species